rnacentral:sRNA from 1 species
AUGAAGAGCGGUAAGUCCAAAGCAGGUGGUUCCGGGUGUUCUCCUCCGUAUGGUGGCCUAUAGCCCGGGCGACAAGCCUGCCAGGCCCGCUCUUCUU